AAUACUGGUCCAAAACCCACUCACUUCUGGACAAUUCCAUAGUAAGUGACCUAAAUCCGCAUUUUCUGAUGAACAUUUCCAACACAGGUCCUUCCUUUCUUUAUAUAUUUUGGCGAGGAAGGCUGGGGACACUGUCAUUGUGCCUCU